CGCGAGCACUUCCGGGUCGUCAGCUCAGUUCUGCGGUUUCUGCGGCGGCUGGAGAGGUGGUCGGAGAAGUAGGAACCUCCUGCCGGGCUCGUGGCGGCUUCUGUCCGCUCCGCGGAGGGAAGCGCCUUCCCCACAGGACAUCAAUGCAAGCUUGAAUAAGAAAAACAAAUUCUUCCUCCUAAGCCAUGGCAUAUCAGUUAUACAGAAAUACUACUUUGGGAAACAGUCUUCAGGAGAGCCUAGAUGAGCUCAUACAGGUGGGAGACUGAAUUAAAAAUCAAACAUUUUUAUCUUGAUGGGUUUACAGUAAUUCUUGUCAUAUCACUUAGGCAAAGAGAUAUGAGGUAAAAUAUCUUGGACUAUUUGACCCAGCAAGUCAGUAACACUGAUUAAAUUACCUCAAAUUCUUGUUUAUUACACUGUCCUGACAACAGGACACAAAACAUGAUUGAAUGAUAUCAUUAAAUAUAGCUAAAUCUGGGUACAUGCAGUGUUUCAUGCCUCUAAUCCCAGCACUUUAGGAGGACAAGGUGGAAGGAUCGCUUGAGGCCAGAAGUUUGAGACCAGCUUAAGCAACAUAGCACCACCCAUCUCCACAAAAAAUAAAAAAAUUAGUUCGGUGUGGGCGCAUGCCUAUAGUCCCAGUUACUCGGGAGGCUGAGGUGAGAGGAUGGCUUGAACCCAGGAGUUUGAGGCUUAAGUGCACUAUGAUGGUACCACUGUACUCCAGCCUUGGUGACAGAGCAACAUCCUGCCUCUAAAUAAAUAAAGUUAAAUCUUCAAAAAUUUUUGUUCAACAUAAAAAUUGAGAUUGUUGGUUUCCCCCUUCUCAAAUUUAGGGAAGAAAGUCAUAUACUUUUUAGCUUUAAGAUAGUUUUGUCCAAUUUAAGUCUUCUGAGAUUUACAAGUCUGAAUUUAUAUUUCAAUUUUAAGAGAAUUAACCCUUCUGUAUAAUUCUCCCAAAUAAAAACAUAUUAAGUAUUUCCAGCUGGGCACCAUGGCUCAUGACUGUAAUCCCAGCACUUUGGGAGGCCGAGGCAGGCGGAUCACCCAAGGUCAAGAGUUAGAGACCAGCCUGACCAACAUGGAGAAACCCUGUCUCUACUAAAAAUAUAAAAUUAGCUGGGUGUGGUGGCACACAUCUGUAAUCCCAGCUACUUGGGAGGCUGAGGCAGGAGAAUCGCUUGAAUGCGGGAGGCAGAGGUUGUGGUGAGCUAAGAUUGCGCCAUUGCACUCCAGCCUGGGGAACAAGAGCGAAACUCCGUCUCACAAAAAAGG
rnacentral:lncRNA from 1 species